AUUGAACGCUGGCGGCAGGCCUAACACAUGCAAGUCGAACGAGUGGCGGACGGGUGAGCAAUGUCUUGGAAACUGCCUGAUGGAGGGGGAUAACUACUGGAAAAGGUAGAUAAUACCGCAUACCAUCGGAUGUGCCCAGACGGGAUUAGCUAGUCGGUGGGGGAAAGGGUCACCUAGGCGACGAUCCCUAGCUGGUCUGAGAGGGUGACCAGCAACACUGGAACUGAGACACGGUCCAGACUCCUACGGGAGGCAGCAGUAGGGAAUAUUGGACAAUGGGCGCAAGCCUGAUGGAGCAAUGCCGCGUGUGUGAAGAAGGCCUUCGGGUUGUAAAGUACUGUCAGCGGGGAGGCGUUACCCGCAGAAGAAGCAACGGCUAACUCCGUGCCAGCAGCCGCGGUAAUUC
rnacentral:rRNA from 1 species